rnacentral:lncRNA from 1 species
UCGUCAAGAAAUGCAAGCCAAUGCGAGCAAUAUCGGGCGAACUCACCAGCUCGCGGAGGGGAUUGCAGCAAGAUAACAUUAUUGCGGGACGCAAAGUUCAAUCCCUUAAUUCAAUGAGGGAACAAUGCCAUAGCCCAUGGACCAACCGCUGUUGACAUCACACCAGAGCACGCAAGGCGACAGAACAAUUUGCUUUGCGGGAUCGAUGCAGGGAACAGACGCAGGUCAUCCCGCACGAAUGAGCAGGAAGGAGGUUUGUGCUCGUCCAAGUACCGCCGCCAAACGGACCGUGCCUACCGCGCUCUACCCAGGACGCUUCUCCAGGCCGCCGGUUCUGUGACUACACCAUCAAAAAUACCGCGGCGGCAAGGCGCGCCUCUGGAACCUCUACAGUCUAUUAAGUAGGCUGUACUCUUCACUUCAAGCUUGCUCCAACGCAGUUCCAUCUCCACGGCCAACCUAGCACCUUCUUGUCCCUUUCGGUCCGUUCCCGAGGUCAACGGCCGAAUCAUACGUGCACACGCAGGGGGAUCGGACAGGAGUUAUUGAAGUACGGUAAGUCGUACAUGCCCCUCCUGGAAUCCAUUUGCCCUAUGCCGAAAUUCAUGCUGUGCCAUAUGGUACCUGCUCUUGUCCCUUCUGUGCCCCUCCUGCCCUGCCCG